GGAGUUUGGUCCGUGUCUCAGUACCAAUGUGGGGGACCUUCCUCUCAGAACCCCUACUGAUCGUUGCCUUGGUGGGCCGUUACCCCGCCAACAAGCUAAUCAGACGCAUCCCCAUCCCUUAGCGAUAAAUCUUUGGUUCACUUCAGAUGUCCUCGACGAACAACAUAGGGUAUUAAUCCGACUUUCGCCGGGCUAUCCCUACUAAGGGGAAGG
rnacentral:rRNA from 1 species